GUGAACUUAGCUCAGUUGGUAGGGACAAUGCAUAAUACAUGCAAAGUCCUGGGUUCGAACCCCGGCCAUUACC
rnacentral:tRNA from 1 species